rnacentral:lncRNA from 1 species
GUCGCCGUGGAGAUGGGCCACGUGGAGAGCCAGCUGCGGGCCGUCCAGCGGCUGUGCCACUUCUACAGCGCCGUCAUGCCCAGCGAGGCCCAGUGUGUCAUCUACCAUGAGCUCCAGCUCUCCCUGGCCUGCAAGGUGGCCGACAAGGUGCUGGAGGGGCAGCUCCUGGAGACCAUCAGCCAGCUCUACCUGUCCCUGGGCACCGAGCGGGCCUACAAAUCCGCACUGGACUACACCAAACGAAGUCUGGGGAUUUUCAUUGACCUCCAGAAGAAAGAGAAGGAGGCGCAUGCCUGGCUGCAAGCAGGGAAGAUCUAUUACAUCUUGCGGCAGAGCGAGCUGGUGGACCUCUACAUCCAGGUGGCACAGAACGUGGCCCUGUACACAGGCGACCCCAACCUGGGGCUGGAGCUGUUUGAGGCGGCUGGAGACAUCUUCUUCGACGGGGCCUGGGAGCGGGAGAAAGCUGUGUCCUUCUACCGGGACCGGGCCCUGCCCCUGGCAGUGACUACGGGCAACCGCAAGGCGGAGCUGCGGCUGUGCAACAAGCUGGUGGCACUGCUGGCCACGCUGGAGGAGCCCCAGGAGGGCUUGGAGUUUGCCCACAUGGCCCUAGCACUCAGCAUCACCCUGGGGGACCGGCUGAACGAGCGCGUGGCCUACCACCGGCUGGCCGCCCUGCAACACCGACUGGGCCAUGGCGAGCUGGCAGAGCACUUCUACCUCAAGGCCCUGUCGCUCUGCAACUCGCCGCUGGAGUUUGACGAGGAGACCCUCUACUACGUGAAGGUGUACCUGGUGCUCGGUGACAUCAUCUUCUACGACCUGAAGGACCCGUUUGAUGCAGCCGGGUACUACCAGCUGGCGCUGGCAGCCGCCGUGGACCUGGGCAACAAGAAGGCACAGCUGAAGAUCUACACGCGGCUGGCCACCAUCUACCACAACUUCCUCCUGGACCGUGAGAAGUCGCUCUUCUUCUACCAGAAGGCCAGGACCUUCGCCACAGAGCUCAACGUCCGCAGGGUCAACCUGCCUCCUCUGCCACUCUGCGGGUGGGCCCCCUGGUUGGCCCCCAGCCACCCUCGCUGAGGACAGCAUCCAAGGGAGUGGGUUUUGUGCAAGGGCUGGGGGUCUCCUGCCUCUCCUGGUGUCGCCGGUGGCUCAUUUUCUGGCAAAUGGAGGCACGAACGCAGGGGCCAAAUAGCAAUAAAUGGGUUUUGUUUUUUUUUUGC